rnacentral:rRNA from 1 species
AGAUUGAACGCUGGCGGCAGGCCUAACACAUGCAAGUCGAGCGGUAGAGAGGUGCUUGCAUCUCUUGAGAGCGGCGGACGGGUGAGUAAUGCCUAGGAAUCUGCCUAGUGGUGGGGGAUAACGUUCGGAAACGGACGACUAAUACCGCAUACGUCCUACGGGAGAAAGCGGGGGACCUUCGGGCCUCGCGCCAUUAGAUGAGCCUAGGUCGGAUUAGCUAGUUGGUGAGGUAAUGGCUCACCAAGGCGACGAUCCGUAACUGGUCUGAGAGGAUGAUCAGUCACACUGGAACUGAGACACGGUCCAGACUCCUACGGGAGC